rnacentral:tRNA from 1 species
UGGUGGUUCAAUGGUAGAAUCUUCACUUUCCGUGUGGGAGACCAGGGUUUGAUUCCUUGCCA